rnacentral:rRNA from 1 species
UGCCAGCCGCCGCGGUAAUACGGAGGGUGCGAGCGUUAAUCGGAAUUACUGGGCGUAAAGCGCACGCAGGCGGUUUGUUAAGCUAGAUGUGAAAGCCACGGGCUCAACCUGGGAUGGUCAUUUAGAACUGGCAGACUAGAGUCUUGGAGAGGGGAGUGGAAUUCCAGGUGUAGCGGUGAAAUGCGUAGAUAUCUGGAGGAACAUCAGUGGCGAAGGCGGCUCCCUGGCCAAAGACUGACGCUCAGAUGCGAAAGCGUCAGUACUCGUCCAGUUGGCCG